CUGUACUGGUACAAGUCUGUACUGGUACAAAGUCUGAGAACAAGUCUGUACUAGUACAAGUCUGUACUGGUACAAAGUCUGAGAACAAGUCUGUACUGGUACAAUGUCUGAGAACAAGUCUGUACUGGUACAAAGUCUGAGAACAAGUCUGUACUGGUACAAAGUCUGAGAACAAGUCUGUACUGGUACAAGUCUGUACUGGUACAAAGUCUGAGAAAAAGUCUGUACUGGUACAAUGUCUGAGAACAAGUCUGUACUGGUACAAAGUCUGAGAACAAGUCUGUACUGGUACAAAGUCUGAGAACAAGUCUGUACUGGUACAAUGUCUGAGAACAAGUCUGUACUGGUACAAGUCUGUACUGGUACAAAGUCUGAGAACAAGUCUGUACUGGUACAAUGUCUGAGAACACCUCUGCACUAGUAAAUAAUCUGAGAACAAGUCUGUUACUGGUACAAAAUCUGGUAACAAGUCUGUACUGGUACAAAGUCUGAGAACAAGUCUGUACUGGUACAAUGUCUGAGAACACCUCUGCACUAGUAAAUAAUCUGAGAACAAGUCUGUACUGGUACGAAACUGAGAACAAGUCUCUACAGGUACAAAAUCUGAAAACAAAUCUGUACUGGUACAAAAUUUGAGAGCAACUCUACACUGGUACAAAAUCUGGGAACAAGUCUGUACUGGUACAAUGUCUGAGAACACCUCUGCACUAGUAAAUAAUCUGAGAACAAGUCUGUACUGGUACGAAACUGAGAACAAGUCUCUACAGGUACAAAAUCUGAAAACAAAUCUGUACUGGUACAAAAUCUGAGAGCAACUCUACACUGGUACAAAAUCUGGGAACAAGUCUGUACUGGUACAAAGUCUGGGAACAAGUCUGUACUGGUACAAAGUCUGAGAACAAGUCUGUACUGGUAUACAGUCUGAGAACAAGUCUGUAUUAAUACAGAACCUGAGAACAACACUGUACUGGUAAUCCACACUUGUUAGGUUAACUGACUGCAGUUUCAAAACUGAAAUACUGUUAAAAAUGUUAUUAACAUAGAAUCUUAAAAACCCAAUUUCUAGAGUGUCGUUUUAUAAUACAUCGAGUUUAAAAGAGUUUUCAUUUUGAAAGUGUGCAAGGUUUUCAUAAUUUUGAGUGCUGAUAUUCUUUUUUGAAAUUCACUGAUAAGGUAAUUCAUUAGAAAUGAAAUUGAGGAAAAUCAUGGUUGUUUACAUUGCUACGUAUUUUUCUUGUUUUGUUUAUUCAUCAUUAAUUUUAAAGGCUGUAAAAUUGCUUCCAAAUUGGACUCGUUUACGGAAGUUACAAGCAUUGUUAUAUAGAAUGGAGGUUUUACUGUGUUAGGUGCUACUUGUAAUAUAGCAAGCAAAAUACAAUAGCAUUUAGAAAAUAGAAUUUUAUAUUUGUUGUGUUUCACUUGUUUUCUGUUAAAGCAAAAUUUAAAUGCUCACUGCCUUGUUAAUGUUGAAGGAGACUUUAAUUGUUGAGUAGAUCUGUUUGGACAUAGCAUAUCAUUUUGAUGAAAUUUACUGUUUAUACAUGUAUAAAAUAUAUUGAACCUUUAGCCUGCUGGUGGCAAGUGAUUCUGUCUUUGUGACUGGUGCUGAUCUGCAGGCUGAUCUUGAUCGGCACUGUUUUGCUAUUCAGUCAGCUCUGUGAAAAAUGGUACUGCCCAAAUUGAAUGAAGCCCGCCCGCUUAGCUCAGUAGGUAAGAGCUUUGGUCUACGGAUCUAGGGGUCGCGAGUUCGAUCCUCGGGCGGGGCGUAUGUUCUCCGUGACUAUUUGAUAAACAACAUUGUGUCUGAAAUCAUUAGUCCUCCACAUCUGAUUCAUGUGGGGAAGUUGGCAGUUACUUGUGGAGAACAGGUUUGUACUGGUACAGAAUCCAGGAAUACUGGUUAGGUUAACUGCCUGCCGUUACAUGACUGAAAUACUGUUGAAAAACGGAUUUAAACCCAAAACAAAAAAAACAAAAACAAAUUGAAUGAUGGACAAGUCCAUUUUAGAAAAGCAGACGAAAGGUUAAGGGUUUUUAAUUAACAGAAUAGGUAGUAUCACAUUAGUAGAGUUACUAAUAUUUAUACAUUUUAUUAUACAGAAAAUCAUCAAAAUCAUUUGUUUUACUCUUUUAUGUUAUUGGUUGUGGUUUUUACAAGAUAAGUUCAUGUUAGUGAUAUGUAUUUGAUUUUUUUUUGUUACUAUAAAUUUACAUUUCUAAUGGCUAGAUGCAAUGUACCUUCUUAGUCACUUCACAUAUGUGAGUCAUCACAUCAAAAUGGACCAUCUAAAUUUUAGUUUUUUAAAGUCUUUAAUGAACAUUUUUUUUGUAGAUACUAUAUACAUUUUAUACUAUAUUCAGAUAUGUGGUGUUUUUAAUAUAGUGUAAAUAGAGAAUGUUACAUGAGUGUCUUUUCAUACUGAAUUUAUGAAGUGAGUUCAAUGAAAAAUAAUAUGUGAGGCUUUGCAAAGAAUUUUUUAUAAUUUUCAUUCAAUAAGUUUUAUAAAUUCAUUGUGGACAGUCACAAAUGUUUCUACUCUGCUUAUCACAUGUUCGCCUUUUCUGCUGUCCAGGUCAAUCCAGCCUCUGGAAUCUAUAUUUGAAAUUUUAUUAAAUUAUGUAAUACCAAAAUUAUGUAAUGGCUCCAUUUCACACCCAUGAUGUCAAAGGUGAUAAUUCUAGAAAAAAACCUUUCAAAGCCUGUGUGAUUUUUCUUUGUUAAACGUCUUUCAAUAUGUGGUCCUUUUAAGAUGACAAUAUUUGAAAUGCCAGGUUUUGAAGUACAUACAUUAUUGGAUACAUGGAUUUUGAAUACUUAAUUUACUGGAAUCAAUGUCAGAUUUACUAUUUUCCGAACAUGUGUUUUAGAGAAGAAAACUAAAAAAAAAUUCUAAUGACAUGCAGCUUGUGACACUUAAUUUACUUCAUCUCUUUCAUAGUGUGAAGGAACUUGUCUAAGUAGAAGCAGAAUAAAUUAUACUGUAAGAAAACAUGUAGAAUUUCGAUAGACCAGCAGAGAACCAUCUUGAAUGAAUACUAUUGUUCAGACAAUAUCAACAUGUGAUUAUUGUUUUGAAUACCAUUUGAUUGGAUGUUAUUUGUUUCCAAAACCCAAAUAUAGGCAAGCGUUCCAAUGAUCGAAUUAGCCCGCUGUGAAGAUGAUUGUUUGAAUGCAUUUCUAAAACACUGGACCAGCAAGUGUUCAGAUGAGUUGAUCUGCAAUAAAGGAGAACAAAUUACACAGUCUUGCUUGGUCGGGAGAUAUGGGUUAUUGUAAACCUUUGAAAAUGAAAACACACGGGGCUCACACCUCGGGCGUUAUUAUGUUUCUUAGGUUGACAAGAUCCCACGUAACACUUGCUGACUGGUUUUGUUAAAUUUUGUAGCACAUGGUAAUCUUGUAUAUUUUUUUUUGUAUUCAUAAGUUAUGAAAACAUGUUAAUUGAUUUUGUUGUUUGAAAGUUUGUUAUCAUAAAAGAUCAUGUUACAUUUUGAUUGGCAAUUUUUAGCUCACCUGAGCACGAAGUGCUCAAAGGUGAGCUUUUUUGAUCGCCCUGUGUCCGUCGUCGUUGUCAACAAUUUGACUGUUAACACUCUAGAGGUCACAAUUUUGGCCCAAUCUUAAUGAAACUUGGUCAGAAUGUUACUCUCAAUUAAAUCUUGGAUGAGUUCGAUAUUGGGUCAUCUGGGUUUAAAAACUAUGUCACUGGGUCAGAUCAAAGGCAAAGCUUGUUAACACUCUAGAGGUCACAAUUUUGGCCCAAUCUUAAUGAAACUUGAUCAGAAUGUUACCCUCAAUAAAAUCUUGGACGAGUUCGAUAUUGGGUCAUCUGGGUUCAAAAACUAGGUCACCAGGUCAAAUCAAAGGAAAAGCUUGUUAACACUCUAGAGGUCACAAUUUUGGCCCAAUCUUAAUGAAACUUGGUCAGAAUGUUACCCUCAAAAAAAUCUUGGACGAGUUUGAUAUUGGGUCAUCUGGGGUCAAAAACUAGGUCACCAGGUUAGAUCAAAGGAAAAGCUUGUUAACACUUCACAGGCCACAUUUAUGACUGUAUCAUCAUGAAACCUGGGCAGAAUGUUAAUCUUGAUGAUCUCAAGAUCAAGUUUGAAUCUGGGUCAUGUAGGGUCAAAAACUAGGUCACCAGGUCAAAUCAAAGGAAAAGCUAGUCAACACUGUAGAGGUCAGAUGUAUGACCUUAUCUUAAUGAAACUAAGUCAAAAUGUUAAUCUUGAUAAUCUAUAGUUCAUGUUCAAAUCUAGGUCAGGUGGGUUAAAAAACUAGGUCACUAGGUCAAAUCAAAGGAAAAGCUUGUUAACACUCUAGAGGCCACAUUUUUGACUGUAUCUUCAUGAAACUUGGUCAGAAUGUUAAUCUUGAUGAUAUUUAGGUCAAGUUCGAAUCUGGGUCAUGUGGGGUCAAAAUCUAGGUCACCGGGUCAAAUCAAAGGAAAAGCUUGUUAAUAGUCUAGAGGCCAUAUUUAUGACUGUAUCUUCAUGAAACUUAGUCAGAAUGUUAAUCUUGAUGAUCUUUAGGUCAAGUUCGAAUCUGGGUCAUGUGGGGUAAAAAACUAGGUCACCGGGUCAAAUCAAAGGAAAAGCUAGUUAACACUUUAGAGGCCACAUUUAUGACCAUAUCUUAAUGAAACUUGGUCAGAAUGUUAACCUUGAUGACCUUUAGGUCAAUAGGUCAGGUGAGCGAUACAGGGCCUUCAUGGCCCUCUUGUUCUUGUAUAAGAACAACCUAAGAUUUAGAAUUUAGAUGUAUUCACUGAAUGAUACAAUAAUUUGUACCACAAAAUUGAUAAUAAUAACAUUAUUAUAGAUGUUAUGUUACUUUGUAAAGUUUACUUAAUUUGUAGUUAUGUAUUUCCAUACAGUUGGUGUAUUUCGGUACUGCUGGUCAACAAGUAUUUAUAUAUAGAACUGAGAUUUGCCUUUAUACAAUUUUGUACAUUUUACAAUUAUACUUAAUAAACUUUGUUAAUUGAU